AAGGCCGUAGCCCAAUUGGUAGAGGCGGUGGGUCCAAUAGUUUUAGAAUUAUCUUUUCAGGUCAACUAAAGCUUACUUCUAAGGAAGAAAACCCACUAUAUGCUGGUUCGAGUCCAGCCGGCUUUA
rnacentral:tRNA from 1 species